rnacentral:ncRNA from 2 species
GUAUUAAGUCAAGCGCCAGGAUAAUUAAUCUCUGUGUAUUAUUAAAAAUAUAAAAAAUUUUACUUUUUUAAUGCAGAGUUUAUUAUUGACGAGGAUUGGAAUUAUCGAAAGACUCGGCGGGUAUUCCAAAGGCUUGUGGCAGUCUAAAAAUAUAUAACAAAAAGAAAUUUAUCUUUAUAAAUUUUAACAAAAAAUGUAUUGAGUCACUUC